GUCCGCGCCGCCGCCGGUCUCCUAGGCGCCUCCGCGGGUCCGGCCCGGGCAGCUGGAGAGCGGAGCGGCUCUGGAGCGCUGGACCCGUGAUGCCCGCCCACGUGCGACCUCUCCCCGGAGCCGCGCGCUCGCUCACCUGCAGACCUCCAGGCUGCGCGCACACCCCGCUCCUGCGGCUUUUAGGGCUUGGGAAGCUCAUUAAGGCCCACAGGCACGCGGAGCCGGUGCAGAAGGGUGGUAGCCAACAUUCCGGCGGGACCGAGAAGGAAAAUAACAACUGUCCAAAAUAGAAUCAAAGCGCUGGGGAUGUUUACGUGAGGAUGGUGGCACCAUCACAACUUCCUGUCAGACAGGUUUUCCGUGUGGGUGAAAUAGGAGCCUGAACGCCAUCCUCAAAUUAGGUCAUGGAUCCAAAACCCAAAUACACAUCAUGGGAAUAUUGGAUUUUACACUCAGUUGAAAGAAAACAAUCAAUCCAAUGUUGGACGUUCAAAGAAAGCAAAGAUUCUGUUUUCAAGAUAAAAACGAAACUAGGAAACAAAAUAGCCCAGAAAUGUUUCCUGGUGACUUUGAAAAUGGGCAAGAGUUGUUAAUGACAAGAUUGUCUAAGCCACUCAGUGAUGUAAUAAUGGCUCUUUCUGAGUCUCUGUAUUUCCUGGGGACACUGAAACCUAUCAAAAUCAAAGGUCAAGUGGUAUGUCU
rnacentral:lncRNA from 1 species